CUGGAUUUGGCCCACUGACCAGUCUGCUGACCUCUGUUGUGGACUUUGUCCUUUAGUUCCUCCAGUAUGUCAAGUCUCCAAAACUUAGGGUCCCACUCUCUGUCUCCAGAACCCCUGAGCUGCCAUUCUGGCCAUCCGUCCUCACUGUGAAUGAGAGACUUUGACUGCUGUAUUUAAGGAGGUCCCUCUAUCCCACCUGAACACCAGAUCACCAGCUUUACUGCCUUCACAGCUCUCAGACAGAAAAGACUUCAUUAACUUGAUUUCUUGCUUUGUUAUCUGUGUCCCCGCUAUAAGAUUUGCUCUCGGAAAAAUCGCAAAAUAUUAGCAUUUUUGCUUCAAAUGUAGUCGACUGGUCAUCCUCAGAGUACAUGUUGAAUCAGGCAGAGCAGUCAACAAACUCAGGUUGAAGAUUUGUGGCGACCAUGCACUGAUUGAAUCUAUGGAAACCAUUUUUUCCAAGCAAGCAAGCAAGCAUCCACUUGCGUUAUGUUCCCACGUGACUUUUUCAUUAUUAUUGUA
ensembl:lncRNA